AUCGCUUCUCGGCCUUUUGGCUAAGAUCAAGUGUAAAUCUGUUCUUAUCAGUUUAAUAUCUGAUACGUCCCCUAUCUGGGGACCAUAUAUUAAUGGAUUUUUAGAACAGGGAGAUGGAAGAAGAGCUUGCUCUGUCCACUCCACGCAUCGACCUGGUAUUGCAGUACCUCCAGGACCGGUGCACCCCUC